AUAUAUUUAAAAAAAGGGCGUAUUACACUAGUGGUAGGGUGGCCUAUCAUGACCAUAGAGACCCUUGGUGACUAGUUUUUGUUGUAUAUUGCCCUGGGAAGGGGAUACGCUAUCUAAUAGAAAUUCCUGAGAGACCAGGAAAUAUACAAUAAGAGAUACGUGAGUGUACUGGUUAAAUUGCAGACAUAUUGGCCCAGAACCUUUAAUCGAGCCGGAAAAGAG